rnacentral:lncRNA from 1 species
UAUUUUAGAGUGUAGGUUCACUCAUUUUGCUUCGUAUGUAGUCACUUGUUGAAAUCUCUAGAAAGACAAAUAUUUAGGAACGGAGGGAGUAUCAUGCAGCAGACAACAAACUUAGUCGAGUAUCCGAAGCAAUUAAUUGGAGGCAACAUAAUAGUAGUACAAUCAGUACUAAAUAUUUUAAGUUUCAUCACCAAUAGUAACAUCCAGAAUCGAUAUGCUAAGUACGGCCAGAAUCGAUAUGAUAGGUACGGCAUUGACUUAAUUAACUACAAGGUUGAGGCUACAUAACUAGAUGAUUCUCAGAAGUACAAAAUUCAGAGAAGAAAAUAUUGAGGCUUCGACUUCAAUCUUGUACCGCCCAAAAUAAAAACAUGUGGUUGCCUCGAAUCGAAAUAAAGGAACCUGCAGAUAAACAUAAAAAAAACAGUCAGAAUGAACAUACAAAUUAUGAAAUAAUAUAGCUAUUUUGUGUGUAUGAUAACUACCUUUAUUAUUGUUGAUUCUUUUGGGGGCAACUACGACUGUCAUGGAAGCCAACCUGGUUACAUGUCCUGCAGGUGCGAGGCUUUUUCGGUCCUCCCACAUUUUUCUUCCCCUCUCCAUUCUUAUUUCUCUUCCCUUCUCCAUCCCCUUUUUAAUUUGGGAACUCAUCCCAUAUUUUUUGUUUUUGGAAUUUACCCUACUGCUCUCAAGUAGGAUUUACAAGUCCAGUUUACAUAUUCUACUGCCGGCAACUGAUGUACAUGCUACAGUACACCGACGAAGAUGCAAACAAGAAAGACCAAACCAGAUACUUCAAAAGUACAACUGAAGAAAGACAACUGUGACAUUCAGGUUAACAUGAUUCAGGUAGUGCUUGUUCUACCAUCAGGUGGAGGGAUAUGAGGAUGUUGUGGCAAUAAGACCGACCCCAUAUUAGUACAAUCAGUAACCGAAGCAGCUGUUGCUUACCUGUGCAGGGCUAAGACGAGGUUGAGGCAUGGCACAGUACGAGGAGGAGCGAGGUCCUGGAGAGGCGGCACCGAUGCGUCGACAGGGAACAUGGCCGGCGGAGGGAGAUAGUUCACGGCCAGCGGAGGGCCCCUCGUGGCCGGCGGAGGACGCAUCGUGGCUGGCGUGGGGCUCUUCGUGGCCGGCGGAGGGAGUAGUUCACGGUCGACGGAGGGCCCGUCGUGGCCGGCGUAGGGCAAGUCUCCAUUUUGCCGACGAGAUUGAAAGACGAAUCGAUCGUAGUCGAAACGUAAGGACCUGGUGCGUAAAUGAAAGGGUUAUUUGCUAAUUAGUGUUUAAGUGGCUGGUGGGAUACGACCUAAGAUCUAUGCCGCUCUUUAUUGAUCUGAUGACUCACGAGGUGAGUUUCCAGAUUUUCACUGAAUCAGCGUUUUCACUUGAUACUUCGCCAUCAUACAUAUCUGAUAUAGAUAAUUAAUACACACACACACAACCAGCAUCUAGAGACUGGCCUCUGAAAUGUGCAGAGUACUUCCCCGCCGCUCAUUAACAAGCUUUAGAAUUAUUGGUACAUGCUUUAAUGAAGGAAAUAGCCUAAAGCAAAUUGUAAGGUAUCUACGGCAAAAACGAAGCUGUACAUGACUUACAAUAUCCAUCGAUGCAAAAUGGUUGCUAGAACUGAAGCCUGAAGUACAAAAUGCAGAUAAGUUACAUGAUAGAAAUGCAUAAACUUGGACCCUGGACCACUAACUGUCUACCAAGCUAAUUUGCCAUAUAUCAUCCAUGGGUGGAUGGAUCUGAAACAGAACAUGGCACAGCUCAAAGCAGAGGAGAGGAGGGCAGAGGUAGGGGUGGGGCCUGAGAAGAAGUCACCGGGGAAGGAGGGAGGCUCCAUGGGGCCUCUGCGUCGUGGGGAGAAGGAGCUCCAUCUCCAUGGCAGCGGCCUGCCCCACGGAUGUGCGCCACUCCUGUCGUCGUCACUGUCUGCGCCAUGGCGACCUGCAGAAAAAAGAAGACAAGAUGAGGUGAGGAGGAGAGGGUGGGCAAAGAAGGAGGGGAGAGACCAACCUGUGCCGGAUCCGGCCACCUCUCACCUCGCUGUUGCUGGUUGCGGCGGAUCCCGGCGAUUUUUGGGCGCAGCAGAGAGGGAGAGGAGGGGGAUUUUCUCCGAGCGGUGCGAGAUAGACGGAUGGGUCCACUAGUUUACACGCUGAAGAAAUAGCAGUAGCGCGUUUUGCA